rnacentral:rRNA from 1 species
AUUGAACGCUGGCGGCAGGCUUAACACAUGCAAGUCGAGCGGAGAUGAGGUGCUUGCACCUUAUCUUAGCGGCGGACGGGUGAGUAAUGCUUAGGAAUCUGUCUAUUAGUGGGGGACAACAUUCCGAAAGGAAUGCUAAUACCGCAUACGUCCUACGGGAGAAAGCAGGGGAUCUUCGGACCUUGCGCUAAUAGAUGAGCCUAAGUCGGAUUAGCUAGUUGGUGGGGUAAAGGCCUACCAAGGCGACGAUCUGUAGCGGGUCUGAGAGGAUGAUCCGCCACACUGGGACUGAGACACGGCCCAGACUCCUACGGGAGGCAGCAGUGGGGGAUAUUGGACAAUGGGGGGAACCCUGAUCCAGCCAUGCCGCGUGUGUGAAGAAGGCCUUAUGGUUGUAAAGCACUUUAAGCGAGGAGGAGGCUACUGAGACUAAUACUCUUGGAUAGUGGACGUUACUCGCAGAAUAAGCACCGGCUAACUCUGUGCCAGCCGCCGCAGUAAGAC